CUUCCGCAAUGGACGAAAGUCUGACGGAGCGACGCCGCGUGAGCGAAGAAGGUCUUCGGAUCGUAAAGCUCUGUUGUUAGGGAAGAAGAAGUACCGUUCGAAUAGGGCGGUACGGUGACGGUACCUAACGAGAAAGCCCCGGCUAACUACGUGCCA
rnacentral:rRNA from 1 species